rnacentral:rRNA from 1 species
ACGCACGCUGGCGGCGCGCCUCACCCAUGCAAGUCGCACGAGCGAGAGAGAGCUUGCUUUCUCGAGCGAGUGGCGAACGGGUGAGUAACGCGUGAGGAACCUGCCUCAAAGAGGGGGACAACAGUUGGAAACGACUGCUAAUACCGCAUAAGCCCACGGCUCGGCAUCGAGCAGGGGGAAAAGGAGCAAUCCGCUUUGAGAUGGCCUCGCGUCCGAUUAGCUAGUUGGUGAGGUAACGGCCCACCAAGGCGACGAUCGGUAGCCGGACUGAGAGGUUGAACGGCCACAUUGGGACUGAGACACGGCCCAGACUCCUACGGGAGGCAGCAGUGGGGAAUAUUGCACAAUGGGGGAAACCCUGAUGCAGCGACGCCGCGUGGAGGAAGAAGGUCUUCGGAUUGUAAACUCCUGUUGUUGGGGAAGAUAAUGACGGUACCCAACAAGGAAGUGACGGCUAACUACGU